AUUGAACGCUGGCGGCAGGCCUAACACAUGCAAGUCGAACGAGUGGCGGACGGGUGAGUAAUGUCUGGGAAACUGCCCGAUGGAGGGGGAUAACUACUGGAAACGGUAGCUAAUACCGCAUACCAUCGGAUGUGCCCAGAUGGGAUUAGCUAGUAGGUGGGGUAACGGCUCACCUAGGCGACGAUCCCUAGCUGGUCUGAGAGGAUGACCAGCCACACUGGAACUGAGACACGGUCCAGACUCCGACGGGAGGCAGCAGUGGGGAAUAUUGCACAAUGGGCGCAAGCCUGAUGCAGCCAUGCCGCGUGUAUGAAGAAGGCCUUCGGGUUGUAAAGUACUUUUGGCAGGGAAGCGGUACCUGCAGAAGAAGCACCGGCUAACUACGUGCCAGCAGCCGCGGUAAUUC
rnacentral:rRNA from 1 species